GAUGAACGCUAGCUACAGGCUUAACACAUGCAAGUCGCGGGGCAGCAUGGGGGUUGCUUGCAAUCCCCGUUGGCGACCGGCGCACGGGUGAGUAACGCGUAUCCAACCUGCCCUUCACCACGGGAUAACCCGGCGAAAGUCGGACUAAUACCGUAUGUUGUCCAUUGACGGCAUCCGAUUUGGACGAAAGGUUUGGCGGUGAAGGAUGGGGAUGCGUCCGAUUAGCUGGACGGCGGGGUGACGGCCCACCGUGGCGACGAUCGGUAGGGGUUCUGAGAGGAAGGUCCCCCACACUGGAACUGAGACACGGUCCAGACUCCUACGGGAGGCAGCAGUGAGGAAUAUUGGUCAAUGGGCGUAAGCCUGAACCAGCCAAGUAGCGUGCAGGAUGACGGCCCUAUGGGUUGUAAACUGCUUUUAUGCGGGGAUAAAGUGGCCCACGUGUGGGUUUUUGCAGGUACCGCAUGAAUAAGGACCGGCUAAUUCCGUG
rnacentral:rRNA from 1 species